GCGAGGGAGUUUAGAAAGCCACUACUCCUCCCAAAUUGCAUCUCUCUCCAAGCCGCAAUAACAACAAUGGGACGAAGGAAAAUGCUAGCAUGGAAUGGAAGUGUGUGUGGGUCCCCACACCCUUUCACUGGAAAAACAAAAGGAAAGAAAAAGUCUUCCAAGUCAGUGGAUUAACAAAAUCAAAAUCAAAAUCAAAAUCAAAAUCCUUCCCCUCUCUCUCGCGCUAUUGAAAAUCCUAAAAUUAUAUAAAAAAAAUGGAUAUGAUAUGCUCUGUGGUUACCAGGAGGAACCGUUUCACUUUAAUCUUCUUCUUAGUCGUAGUAAUAAUAAUAGUAUUGAUUCCUGCCGUCUCCUCUGAUAGCGGCGUCUUUAGCGUAAAGUACAGAUACGCAGGCCAACAACGCUCUCUCAGUGACCUAAAAGCACACGACGAUCGCCGCCAGCUCCGUAUUCUCGCCGGCGUCGAUCUCCCUCUCGGCGGUAGCGGUCGUCCUGAUACUGUCGGGCUUUAUUAUGCUAAGGUUGGAAUUGGAACUCCUUCAAAGGACUAUUAUGUACAGGUGGAUACAGGGAGUGAUAUUAUGUGGGUUAAUUGCAUUCAAUGUAGGGAAUGCCCUAGAACGAGCUCUCUUGGUAUGGAACUUACACUAUAUAAUAUAAAGGAUUCAGUCAGCGGGAAGCUAGUUCCUUGUGAUGAGGAGUUUUGCUAUGAGGUAAAUGGAGGUCCAUUAUCUGGCUGUACUGCAAAUAUGUCUUGUCCUUAUCUUGAGAUAUAUGGAGAUGGGAGCUCUACUGCAGGUUAUUUUGUGAAGGAUGUUGUGCAGUAUGAUAGGGUAUCUGGUGAUCUCCAAACUACAUCCUCUAAUGGAAGUGUUAUAUUUGGGUGUGGGGCUAGACAAUCAGGGGAUUUAGGCCCAACUAAUGAAGAAGCUCUUGAUGGCAUACUUGGUUUUGGGAAAUCAAAUUCGUCAAUGAUUUCGCAGUUGGCUGCCACUAGGAAAGUGAAAAAGAUAUUUGCUCAUUGCUUAGAUGGUAUAAAUGGUGGUGGUAUCUUUGCUAUUGGGCAUGUUGUGCAGCCAAAAGUUAACAUGACACCGUUGAUACCAAACCAGCCCCAUUACAAUGUCAAUAUGACGGCAGUUCAAGUUGGUGAAGAUUUCCUACAUCUUCCAACAGAAGAGUUCGAGGCAGGAGAUCGGAAGGGAGCAAUAAUAGAUAGCGGUACAACCUUGGCCUAUCUCCCAGAAAUUGUUUAUGAACCAUUAGUCAGUAAGAUAAUCUCUCAGCAACCUGAUCUGAAAGUUCAUAUUGUACGUGAUGAAUAUACAUGUUUUCAGUAUUCUGGAAGUGUGGAUGAUGGAUUUCCAAAUGUCACCUUUCAUUUUGAAAACUCAGUUUUCUUGAAGGUCCAUCCACAUGAAUAUUUAUUUCCAUUUUUUUUGCAAAAACACCCACAUGAUGCUUUGUCCAGAAGAAUCAGUCUGCCUUUGGAACCAGGAAUUAUAAAUUUGCUGCUUCUGGGAAGGUUUAUGGUGUAUUGGAUGGCAAAAUAGUGGAAUGCAAUCAAGGGAUAGAAGGAACAUGACUCUUUUAGGAGAUUUAGUACUUUCAAAUAGGCUAGUUUUGUAUGAUCUCGAAAAUCAGGCAAUUGGAUGGACCGAGUACAACUGUUAAAAAUAUUUUGCGGAUUUAAAAAACAUUUUAAGCUUUUGGGGACCAGUUUUUGCUCUUAAUUUCGGGGACUAAAAUGACAUUACCCAAAUAAGAAUACAUUGCUACCGAACCUUCCAAACAUUGUGGAAGUGCUUUUGGAAGCCUGUUCAGGCAUUUAAGAUGCUUGUGAAGUCACCGGACUGGAACAAUGAGCUAUAUGAGAUAUUGUAAUCUCUUAUUUACAAUUGAAUGAUGAUUAGAAGAAAAUUUUUAAUCUCUGAAACAGUUUUAAUUAGAAAGCCUUAAUUUCUUAGACCAUGAAACUCUAUAGCAACUUCAGAAGAUAAUAAGAAACUAAUAUUGUGUAUUCUCUAUAUGGUUUGCUUUUGGUCUUUGAAGUUCUCCGUGAACUGUGGGUGCCUCAAAUGACGCCUAGAUUAAGCUUUUGGUUGUAAGGUGGAUCUUUAGAAAGAUUGCAGAUAAGUGAAUGGUUAUUUAUGUGAGUGGUGUUGCACUCUUUUAUGUGCUGUUUUAGGUAAAGGAAAGAUGAAAACCAUAAAUUCUUUCUGAGAGCGAAAGCAAUAUUUGUUGAGGGCUUGGACUCUUGCCUAAGGUCAGGUUUUGGGGAUUUUUUUUUUAUUAUUAUUUUAUUUUAUGCUUUCUAGGGGGGAGCCUAGAACUAGCUGCAAAUCAGACAGAGAAUCAAAGUAAUCAUAGACUGAAUUAUAAAUAUCAAACUGUUGCUAGGAAAGAAAAUUGAAAAAAAAAACAGUAUGGGACCUGUUUGCUCAAUCUAUCAUCUUUGUUUGUCGUGUUCUUCCUUUCAGUUAUCCUCUUUCCUCUUGUCAUGCUACUGUAAUAAUCUAGUUAAAUCUAGAAAGACAUGCCUCUAUAAUUUAAACCAUUUAUUUGUUCAAUUUGUAUUUAAAAGCAAAAUUGAUAUGUGAAAUGUAGUAAAAAAGAUUUAAUCUUAAAAUUAAAGCCGCUAUGUAUUAUUUUCAUUAUAUUGAUGCGCACUAAAAAUCAAUUUGGGACUUCUAUAUUUAGUUCUUAAAACGCCUAGUCAAAUUUUUUAAUAAAAAACUAACUAGAGAAAUUAUAAAACUAGACAUCCACUAGAUUUUGAAUUGAAAUUUUAAAUAGUUUCUUAAGUUUCAAGCUGUAACUUCUUAAACAAUAGUGCUUAAAUCUUAAUCUACUCCAUAGUUGGCAGGCGGAGUCCUUCUGGUAUUUAACUUUCUACAUUUUACACAUGAUAUGAAUUUAGGGAUCAAUUAUUCACGAAGAACCUGAAAUCUUCUCAUUAAAUUUCUUAUAUGGAAAGAAAAUUGUGGUGGUUAGUCUUUAUUUAACUUAUUAAUCACUAUUUGCAUUUCUGAACUUCUGUCAAAUGUAAAGGAAAUAAAUUCUGCCAUUGUGGUUUCAAAUCCUCAAAGUAAAGAACAGCAAAGAAAUUUACAUCCCAUUUGACUCUUUAACUAAAUGUGCCUUGUUAAAUUCAUUGUCAAUCUAAAUAUAUUCUCUUAUAUAGUUCCAUUUGUGCUGAUUUUUCUGUGGAUGA